rfam:Spirochaetaceae bacterium 4572_7 ex4572_7_scaffold_2774, whole genome shotgun sequence.
GGCCACACCCGUUCCCAUACCGAACACGGAAGUUAAGCCAAGUUGCGCCGAUGGUACUGCGUUAGUGGGAGAGUAGGUGAUCGCUAGAC